rnacentral:lncRNA from 1 species
UAAAACUUAAUAGAAAAUUUGAUGUAAGUUAUAACUUUUGAAAAUAAAGCAGAAUCAUGAUUAAUAAGGUUUGAUAAUUUAAAAUAUAAAUAAAACUAAGGAGUGAGAUUAUAUCCAACCAAUCAUUCACGAUAUAUCUAUCAAACAACGUAAUAGCAGACAUGAUCAUGCUUGUCUCUUGUCUAAAGCAGUAAAGGAUAUUAAACAUUAUUAUUAAACCACAUAAAAUCAAAUUUGGAAUACAUUUACAAAUAUUUUAUAUAUUUAUUUAGAUAUUCAAAUAUAAUGUCAUCUUUAGGGAUGAAAAAAGACCUAUCAGGGCAUUGUAUUUGUUUUUUGAAAAAAACUAUUGAAAAAUAUAAGAAAAAAUGAAACAAAAUGGAAAAACAUAUAUAAAUUUUUGACAACUAAUAUUUUAUUUAACAAAAUCUUGAUUACAAAAAAGCAAAAAAAAAAACAAAAAGUCAAAGAAACCUAACAAGAAGGCCCAACAACACGAGAACACUAGAGGAAAUCCAAACAACUGGACUCAAACUAUACAAUACAAAUUGAGUCUGUAGGUCUAACAAUUGAAAACCGUAGAUGAAGAAACAAUAGCACAUGAUCAGUCAUCCAUCACAUGUACGAUUGUCUAGCAAUCAAGAGACAUGUGUCAAGGCGAGGAUCCACUUCCUUUCUCCAAAGUCAGAGAAGAGCUGCGAUAGAACUCCGCUAUCAGUGAAGUCGAACCGGUGAAGCAGCCGCUCAAAUAAAAUAUCCCUCACAAAAGUUCAAGUCGAGGAGUCUACUCUGGUGGAUUGACGCUUUGGAACGGAUAUUUUAACCGUCUUCAAUCAAUCUAACACACUCCAAUUUUCAUACAUGAACGACUAAACAUCUCAAAUGAUACAGAUAGGCCUGAAGAUGAACCGGCACUAUCCAUGAGGAGGAAAGAGCAAUCAAAGGAUCAGAUCAAGAGUUAGUUAAGACAACAAAACAAAAAAGAAUAUCGAACAAAACCCGGAAAAAAAUCCCUGCAGAAAAGUUGGCAAAAUCGGAACUAUGUGAGACACCGUUUUCCGGAGUCAAAAGCCAGCGAAACUGGUGCUAUAGGAACCACCGCUUCAUAGAGACAAAAGUCUGAUGGUCAAGAUGCUAAACCACAAAAAAAAUCUAAAAUAAAUAAAACUAAUAAUGUUUUCUCUUUGAAAAAAUUGGAGAGAGAGAAGAAAGAGAGAGCGUUAUUGAUCAAUGGAGAAACAUAUUACUGAAAUACUUUCAAGAUUUUACUAGAGACCUAACACUGUUUGUCAUUGUCUCAUUCGCUGAACUUUUAUUUUAGUUUAAAAUUUAACUAUUAAUUUAAAUAAAACUGAAUCAAUAAAUAUUCUACUCAUAUGAUAAUCUAAGUGGGUCAGUUAUCA